CAAAAAAUACUUCGAAAUUCGAAUUUUUUUCAUUCGAAUCCUUCACUCGAAGUUAGUGAAUCUGCCCCUAAGCAUUACUAAGUGCAAUCCAUGCCAAUUCUUUAGCCUUACUAAUAUUAGUAUUGUGUUUUUUCACUUUAUUAAUUUUAUUUGUCUAUAUAAGUGUUUCUAGAUACACUCUAGAUUUUUUUUUAAAAUAAUACACUCCAAAAGUAAUGAGUUUUUGUUUAUUCUGUAUUUGGAUAGCUCUUCUUCUGUCCCUCAAGCUAUACUAGCAUAAACCCUGUUUCAGUAUCUGUGAUUUAUGGACCUGAUGUACCUCCCCCCUCCCCCCCAGCUAUAUCAGUCUGUGUUGAAAGUGCGAAUGAGGGAGUAAUAAAAACGAUUGCUACUUUCCAUAGCAAGUACUGUAAAAAAAACACCAGUGUGAAUAAGGCUAAAGUUGCCAUACAUGCAGAGACCGCUAAAUGAGAGAUCUAUCCUUGAUAGACUGUCUUAAGGUAGGAGAUAUUGGGCUGAUUCGAUUGUGGACUUUAGGGCCCAAUGAUCAAAUCACAACGCUGAAAAUACUGGUGAUCGAAUCAAGGAAUGCAUCAAUGAACUCCAACUGGAGUUUUAAACCUUGGUCUGUCAGCUGCUUAUAUUGGCCCGUAUUUGGCCACCUAUAGGCCUUGUACAUAUAUAUGCAUCUCAUAUGUGAUGACAGUUAUUGAGAGAACUCACAUCCACCGAGUAUCACAUCAGUGGAGGAACUGCGACUGCACCAGGGCCCACACCCAGUUCUCGUAUGAGUGAAUCCAUUGUGAAAAUUGCUUUUGGGGGGGGCGCCCGGCUGGGCCCCAUGGUGAGUAGUUACGUUACUGUUGAGUAAGUGUGAGUGAGUAUCAACUCACUAUCGCACCAGAUUCACAUACUGUAACUCUGCCAGUCUGGUAUGUAGGUGCAAAUGUAAACAGAAAGACGCAGAUAUGUAUGUAAAGAAUAGCUUGAAUCUAUCAGUCCCCUUUAAUGUUUCAUUUGCUGUGCAAGAGUUAUAUUAAAGCGAUAGAGCAACACUCCUUUACCUUAGGCCUAUUCACAUUUUUUUAGUGGAGCCCCUUAAGAAUUGCUGUACUCACUACAUUGGCGAGUGCAGCACAACAAUAACACAGUUCACCUUUAAGUAUGGAUGCUGGCUGGUAUAUCACCAGCACAUCACCCCUUGACCACCCUAAGCAGCCAGACUUAACUCUGUAGUACUCUCUUGUUACAUACUAUACCUACUGUAUUCUAUCAGCAGAGCUUGCCACAUUAGAUAGGGAUGACUAAAGUUGGCCAUACAAGAUCCACAUUUGGGCAGGCCUAUUUUGCCCAUACUGUCAGUACAUCUAGGCAUAUAGCUAGGAUUAUCAGACAAUAAUUCUGUGCUCAGUCCUGAAAAAUUGGCCAAAAGGUGGCAAAGAGUAGCCUCAGCUUGACACCUCUUUUUGUUCAGAUCAUUCACAUGGCUGGUUUGGACAGAACACUACAAAGGUGACCAACGAUUUGUUAUACUGUGCCUGGCUGGUCCAUGUAGGGCACCUUUAGGGCACUUACAUAUAGGUUUUUUUUUAUUUAUGUGAUUGAGACGCAGGUUUGAGCAAAAUGGAUGACAAUACAUAAGCUUUAAUUUCUAUAUUUCAUGCUUAAACCCCCUUCCCCCCAGGACCAUCAAGACCCAGACUGGCAAUCUAUCUGAUUAGGCAAAUGCCUGGUAGGCCUCUCCAUUUAUAGUAAAGUGGGCCUGGCAAGCCAAAUGGGAGCCAAAGCCGAAUGAAAGUUGAAGUGGAAGCCACCAACUGGGAGCCAAUGCCGCAGAGGAGAAUGAAGAAGCCACUGUCACCUAGAAGCAAGAAGACUACCUGCCACAUUUUAAAUGUAAGUUUACACUGAACACCAAUAGUUUUUUUUAUAAAAAUCCCUGACCACCAGUGUUUUUUUAACUUUAAUGGCGGACCCUGGUCACCAAUGUUUUUUUUUUUAACUUCGGGGCUGGCCACCAAUGUUUUUUUACUUGGGGGAGCUAGCCACCUGUGAUUUUUUAACAUGGGGGAGCUGGCCACCAAUGUUUUUUUUAACUGGGGGGGGCUGCCCACCAAUUGUUCUUUAACUUUCUGUACUUUUAUGGUGCGCCCUGACCACCAAUGUUUUUUUAACUUGGGGGAGGGGGCUCACCACCAUUGUUUUUUUUUAGUUUUACAUGGGGCUGACCACCAGGGUUUUUUUUUUAGUUUUAUGGGUGAGAACAUGUGUUGUGAUUUAGUUUUGCGUAUGUACCUUGCCUACUAAAUGACUAAUGCAUGAAUCUGCCUUGCCUUUUGUCUCAACAUCAUCUGAAACUUUCUAGUGUUUUCCCUAGCCCAUUAGCUUUUCUUCACUGCUUGUUUGUGUGAAGAACAUUCCCUCCUGCUUUUAAAGACUUUUACAGAUGAUUGGGAGGGAGGGAUGUCUGCACUACAGAUACCCACUGACUCACCUGCUCUGUUUUGUUGCUGUGCUGUUGCUUAGGGAGAAGGGUGGAAAUAAAAUGUAGGCUGUCUUAGUAACCCCUGUGUUUAUUUCCACAGAAGCCUCCCUUUCUUUAAACACACAUGGCUCUCCAACAUUAGCAGCAAUCACAACUUUGUGAUGUAAAUAGAGAAAUCAAAGCAAAAAUAAACAUUAUGGCUCAUCCAAGAUAUAUUUUAUCAUAAUACAACAAAAAUGUCUUCAGGUCUGAAAAUUGUGUCACUGAUUCCAGUAAAGAACAUAUAUAUCAAAUCUUCCUCCUGCUGAAGAACAAUAAUCUUUACAACUAUAAUGGUCAAUACAAUACAUCCGUUUGCAGUGGAGCAAGCAACACAUUUACAAUUGUGCACAAAUAUGCCAAGGAACAGAUACUUUGAUUUAUCCUUUCCUAAAUUUUACUUAAUACAUUUUCAUUGUUCACUUGGUUUAGUUUAAAUUUGCUGGCCCCUUAAAGUUUGAAGAAAACAGAUUGAGCAUAAGAUUUCUGCAGUGAAGUGCAUGGAUCGUUGAUAGAAGACAUUGAUCAAAGAUUGAAGUUGAGUUAUAGGUGGUAGAUGAAAACAACUUUUCUGGAUCAGCAGACGUGCAAGUCAGAACAAGAUGAAUGACAGAAAGAGCUGAUGCAGAUGUAGGCUGGGAACAUUCCUUCAGUUGGGGAAGCAGGAUUUCUAGUGGCGACCCCCAUUCGUUUAGUUAAUGAAAAGACUUGGAAGGAGCCAGUGCAAAUGUUUAGACACAGCAGGGCAGAUGCUUCCCUCACAGUGGAUCAGAUAAAGAGCUGAUAAUUCUAAAAGGAACCAUGGUGUUUGGAUAAGCUACCGAGCAGACGGCAGGACGGGCUGAGGCCUGAAGGGGUAUUGGAGGGAGAAGAGCCAAACGUGACAUUCUCCCAGUGAUGAGUGAUUAAGGCAGAUUGUUUAUAUUGCUAAUUCAUUGCUAAAUGAUGCACCUUCUUUAACUCUACCUGGAAUUUGCAUUCUCAGGUGCACUGUCAGAAAACAAGGAUUUGGCCUUUAACCCUUCGAGCAGUGCUUGAGCAGUUGAUUGAAUGUUUGACUAGACUGACUAGUUACCCUUACCUACAUGACUGAUUUAUUUCUUAGUCAUCCACUAUUAUUGAAUAGACAAGCUCUCCCCUUUCCAGGGCCACCAUCAAACACCUGGGUCCUCUCCACCACCUUCAGUUGAACCUUGAUAGCUGGUUUAAAUAUCUCUCACUCGUCAGUUUUAGGGCUCUUAUACAUGGGUGGUUUUGCCCUGCACUCCCCUAUAUUCCAUUUUAAUCUGUUCAGCCACAAUUUAGAUCUUCAUACGUUAAGUCUACUAGAAAAUCAUGUAGACAUUAAUUAACCCAAUAGGCUGGUUUUGCUUCCAAUAAUGUUUAUUAUUACAGAGGAAAAAGAAAAUAAUUUUUAGAAAUCUGAAUUAUUUGGAUAAAAUGGAAAUAUAUUAUAAAUGAUAAAUUUGGAUUAUUUGAUUGAAUUUGAAUAGAGUCUAUAGGAACCUUUCCAUAAUCCGGAGCUUUCUGGAUAACGGGUUUCCAGAUAACGGAUCCCAUACCUGAAUAUACAACUGAAUGUUCCUCCAUGUAAGACAAGUGGUCACCCCUUGGCUGUUACAAAACAAAAGCUGCCUGCACAGUUGCCUGUGGGUAAUGAGGCUGGAAUGUGUACAGUAGUGGCCUGAAUAAAAUGCUAAGUAAUGAAAUAUAACAAUAAAAUUGCCGCCACAGAGCAAUAGAAGUUUUGGCUUCUGGGGUCAGUGACCAACUUUUAAAAGCAGGAAAGAGUCAGAAAAGAAGGCAAAAAAAUUAAAAAAAACUAUAAAGAAUAAUACAUAAAGACUUAUUGUGAGGUUGAUAAAUUCUGUAAUCUACAAAAAGCUGACUUAAAGGUGAACAACCCCUUUAAUACCCCCUGUUGAAUCCAAAAUGUGCUCUUGCCCAGUGGAUAGUAAUGAAAGUAGCACCAGGUACAGACCAAGAACAACACGGGUGAAUGUAUGCGUUGAAAUGAGAUGGGCCAUCUCUCCUUAUGCAUUGGACCACCUCUUCAAUGUAGCCAAAACUAUUGACUUCUGUGGCAGCCCCAGUUCUAAAAGAAAAGAAAAAGAUAUUACCAAGGAUCAACCACACAAAUUAGAUCCAAUGAUCAUAUAAAACUAAAGGUACUGUUUCUGGUCACCAUGGACUGUAACUGUAAGUCUCGCCAUCUGAUAACAUCAGAUAACAAUUGAGUAACCAUGCACACUCCCCCUGUUGGACCCACCCAAUGGGACCUACUGUAUAAUGCAAUAAAAUAUAAAUUCUGAAUGUACUUGAACUGUACCUCUAUUUGUUGUACCUCAAUUUAAAGCUGUAAUUGUAGCCAUUAAUAUAUGAUCUCUACUUAUUCAGUAAGUCUAGAUACUGUUGUUUGCACUGUUUACUGGAUGUUGUAACAUUGCCAACUGCACGCUGUUAAAUGCUUCUUUUUCUUGUCAAUAAACUCGACCUAAUCAAAAAAAAA